CAUAUCACAUUGAAACACCAGUUCCCGUACGAUCACCGAAGUUAAGCAACGCCGAGCCUGGUCAGUACCUAGAUGGGUGACCAAUUGGAAAUACCGGGUGUUGUAAG